rnacentral:rRNA from 1 species
UACGUAGGGUCCGAGCGUUGUCCGGAAUUACUGGGCGUAAAGAGCUCGUAGGUGGUUUGUCGCGUUGUUCGUGAAAACUCACAGCUUAACUGUGGGCGUGCGGGCGAUACGGGCAGACUUGAGUACUGCAGGGGAGACUGGAAUUCCUGGUGUAGCGGUGGAAUGCGCAGAUAUCAGGAGGAACACCGGUGGCGAAGGCGGGUCUCUGGGCCAGUACUGACGCUGAGGAGCGAAAGCGUGGGGAGCGAACAGGAUUAGAACCUACCGAGUCAGACCAAGACCA